AAGAGUGCUAGUAAGAACUCCCAAAGGAUGUGAUCCCAUGAUAUUGCGAGGUAAAAUAGUAGGUAAUUUCGGGUUCUUAUCAACCAUCGAUUGAGCUACUUCCACCAUUUCUGGAUGUUUUUCUACAAGGACAUAAAGCUGCGCGGUCAAAUCCGCCUGAUACUUUUACUCCUUCCAAGUCCUCCUUUUCCAUUGAGUCCAGCAUCUCUCCAAACGACAUCGGCACCCUGUAAUCCUUAGAGACAACGAAGUGAAGAAAAUCGAUUUUUGCCUUGCGAUCGUUAAGAUACGUCUUGGCAUCAUCCCAAUGCUUAGACUUCACACAUUUGACGAAAGAUUUCUGCUUAUCAUCGGCAUCGCUCUCAUGUUUUGCCAUGUUUUAU
rnacentral:lncRNA from 1 species